rnacentral:rRNA from 1 species
GGGCCCGCACAAGCGGUGGAGCAUGUGGUUCAAUUCGAAGCAACGCGAAGAACCUUACCAACCUUUGACAUGCCUCGUAUGGUCGCUGGAGACAGCUUCCUUCCCGCAAGGGGCGAGAGCACAGGUGCUGCAUGGCUGUCGUCAGCUCGUGUCGUGAGAUGUUGGGUUAAGUCCCGCAACGAGCGCAACCCUCGCCCUUAGUUGCCAUCAUUCAGUUGGGCACUCUAAGGGGACUGCCGGUGAUAAGCCGCGAGGAAGGUGGGGAUGACGUCAAGUCCUCAUGGCCCUUACAGGUUGGGCUACACACGUGCUACAAUGGCGGUGACAGCGGGAUGCAAUGGAGUAAUCCUGCGCAAAUCUCGAAAAGCCGUCUCAGUUCGGAUUGUGCUCUGCAACUCGAGCACAUGAAGUUGGAAUCGCUAGUAAUCGCAGAUCAGCACGCUGCGGUGAAUACGUUCCCGGGCCUU